rnacentral:rRNA from 1 species
UACGGGGGGAGCAAGCGUUGUUCGGAUUUACUGGGCGUAAAGGGCGCGUAGGCGGCCACCGCAAGUCGACUGUGAAAUCUCUGGGCUUAACCCAGAAAGGUCAGCCGAUACUGCGGGGCUAGAGUGCAGAAGGGGCAACUGGAAUUCUCGGUGUAGCGGUGAAAUGUGUAGAUAUCGAGAGGAACACCUGCGGCGAAGGCGGGUUGCUGGGCUGACACUGACGCUGAAGCGCGAAAGCUAGGGGAGCGAACGGG